UACGUAGGGUGCAAGCGUUAAUCGGAAUUACUGGGCGCAAAGCGUGCGCAGGCGGCUUUGCAAGACAGAUGUGAAAUCCCCGGGCUUAACCUGGGAACUGCAUUUGUGACUGCAUGGCUGGAGUGCGGCAGAGGGGGAUGGAAUUCCGCGUGUAGCAGUGAAAUGCGUAGAUAUGCGGAGGAACACCGAUGGCGAAGGCAAUCCCCUGGGCCUGCACUGACGCUCAUGCACGAAAGCGUGGGGAGCAAACAGG
rnacentral:rRNA from 1 species